UACGGGGGGGGGCAAGCGUUGUUCGGAAUUACUGGGCGUAAAGAGCGUGUAGGCGGCUCGGUAAGUCCGUUCUGAAAGUCCAGGGCUCAACCCUGGGAUGCGGAUGGAUACUGCCGGGCUCGAGUCCGGAAGAGGCGAGUGGAAUUCCCGGUGUAGCGGUGAAAUGCGCAGAUAUCGGGAGGAACACCAAUGGCGAAGGCAGCUCGCUGGGACGUGACUGACGCUGAGACGCGAAAGCGCGGGGAGCGAACGGGG
rnacentral:rRNA from 1 species